rnacentral:rRNA from 1 species
UACGGAGGGUGCAAGCGUUAAUCGGAAUUACUGGGCGUAAAGCGCACGCAGGCGGUUUGGUAAGUCAGAUGUGAAAUCCCCGGGCUCAACCUGGGAACUGCAUUUGAUACUUGCAAGCUUGAGUGUCGUAGAGGGGGGUAGAAUUCCAGGUGUAGCGGUGAAAUGCGUAGAGAUCUGGAGGAACACCGGUGGCGAAGGCGGCCCCCUGGACGAAGACUGACGCUCAGGUGCGAAAGCGUGGGGAGCAAACAGG